rnacentral:tRNA from 1 species
AAAACUUUAAGUUUAUAAUUUUAAACUAAAAGAAUUCAAAUCUUUAAAAAUAAUAAUUUUUAUAAGUUUUA